rnacentral:rRNA from 1 species
GACGAACGCUGGCGGCGCGCUUAACACAUGCAAGUCGAGCGAUGAAAUUUCGACAGAUCCCUUCGGGGUGAAGAUGAAAUGGAUUAGCGGCGGACGGGUGAGUAACACGUGAGUAACCUGCCUUUGACAUUGGGAUAGCCUCGGGAAACUGGGAUUAAUACCAAAUGACACUAACUGAUCACAUGAUCAAUUAGUCAAAGAAAUUCGGUCAAAGAUGGACUCGCGGCUGAUUAGCUAGUUGGUGAGGUAACGGCCUACCAAGGCGACGAUCAGUAGCCGGCCUGAGAGGGUGAUCGGCCACAUUGGAACUGAGACACGGUCCAAACUCCUACGGGAGGCAGCAGUGGGGAAUAUUGCACAAUGGGGGAAACCCUGAUGCAGCGACGCCGCGUGAGCGAAGAAGGCCUUCGGGUCGUAAAGCUCUUUUAUGAGGGAAGAUAAUGACGGUACCUCAAGAAAAAGCCCCGGCUAACUACGUG